ensembl:lncRNA TMEM72-AS1 TMEM72 antisense RNA 1
GGCCAAUGGCACCGCCCCGUCCGCCCCGCUCUGGGAACGCCGCUCCAGCAGAUGUGACAUAGACUGGAAGUGAUGGACCCAGACAACAAUCAGAACCAAAGCACCAGAUGAGCCACCUCAGCCACGUGAGCCAUGCCAGCCACCCUACCUGUGACCCCAUCUGUGGCCCCAGUUAUCAUGGAGUAGAGAUGCCAUUAAGAACAUUCAUGAUUCAUGAGAGGAGAUCAAAAUAUCAACAUAAACAGGAGUUUGAAAGAAGUUGAUUUCAACCCUUGUGGAUGACUAUGAGAGAUUCAAGGCUUCAGUGGAGAAUGCACCUACAGAUAUGGUGGAAACAGCAAAAGAAAUAGAAUCAGAAGUGGAGCCUGAAGAUUAAACUGAAUUGCUGCAAUCUCAUGAUAAAACUUGAACAGAUGAGGAGUUGCUUCUUACAGGUAUCCACACUGCCUCUGCUACCUGCCCGUUGGUCACUCACUCAUUGUUCUGAUGAUAAGAUCGACAGAUCACAAGAAGGCGAGUGUCAUGGGCAAAGCGAGGAGUCCAGCAGGAUGGACGCUGUGUGGUUUCUCAGCUGGAGCGCAGCAGGAGCAAGCGUGGAAACAUCCUUCUUUUCUCUUCUCCCCUCCCCUCCCCAAGUGCAAAUGGAACCUGUGAAAUAUGGCUUGAUUUUGAGGCUUCUAAUUCUUCAUUGCACUCCCAGACCCUUCUUUUAUCUCUGGUGGCAGCCCUGAGAAUAAAUCUCUUGGUCACAUUCUUCAAUCAGUUUCUCCCAGAGAAAAGGUUAGGCUGCAAGGAUGAUAGGAACCAGACUUCAAAUGGGUUUCCAGGAGCUGAGGGAAGGAAAGGUUUUUCCUACAGUUUCUCCAGCCAAGGGAUUAAGAAAAGGAUGGGGUCAUAGAGCAACAGCAGUAGAAGGUGGCAUUCCAAGACUUUCUCCAGGACUCCACCUAAGGUCAGUUUCUCGUCACUCAUACCUGUUUGUCUUUUGCCUGGCCACCAUCAAUGUAGAGUUAAGAACCAGGAGGCAGGAACAUGCUCCCCAAGUCACAGUCUGCCUCCCACAUACUGCAGUUUGAUUACAGCAUCCUGCCUCUCCACAGGAGGAAAGUGGUGUCAUUCUCCAGAACCAGGUGUGGAUUGUGAUCAGACCUAGAAUUGGCUAGGUAAAAAGCUUAAGAGAGAGAUUCCAUGUCCUGCAACACUGUCCACAAUUCAAAUCUGUAUUCAAAAUAAAACUAAAAGCAGAGAAAAUCCACAGCAGACCUACCACUCUCCAGGCAGAUAGUGCCCUCUCCACAAUCUGCAGCCAUCAACUGCCUCUGCUGGACGCUGCCCAGAGAGAGACCUGCUGCUGCAGAGCAGCUCUGUGUCAGCCACUGCGGCCUUAGAGAGAGCUGCAGGAAAUGGGACUUCUCACGUGCUCUCCACAGUGGAACCACAGGUCAGCAGCUGAAUGGAGCCUCUACCCUCUGGAUGCCUUUCUUGUCACUUAGUAUUCUUUUUUUUCUCAUUCUGGUACUUUAUCUGCUGGAAACUUUCAAAUGUAUUACUAAUGUCCUUCCAAACAGACUCCACAUGGGAAUUUUCAUGAUAUCUUGGCUAUAUUUACACAAAGAUUAGCUUGCAGGAAACAC